AAUUAAAAGUUCUUGUGUUAUGUUGUGAGAAAUACUGAAGGUGACAGAAGAGUCUGAGCACUGUUGGAUCUGUCAAGAUCAGGAGCUCACAUGUCAGUUAACUCAGUGCUCUUUCCCCUCUAAAUUCUACAUCCUUUCUGUUGUCUCUGGGAUGACCUCAUUUGUUGGUUGCAUAAGAUUGUAGGGUUAGUUUGUUUUUAAAA
rnacentral:miRNA from 12 species